ensembl:lncRNA
UGUGCCUUCUGUGGACAAUGCAGUGUACCUCACCAGAGCACGAGUCCUGUGAACCCAGCUUUGAGAGACUCCUUUGUCAGCACCCUUCAUUUGCUCACACCUUUGUAGACCCUUAUACUCUCUUCAGUCGCCAUUUUUAACUGUCCUGCUACCUGUUGCCUAACAUGCCAGGCUACUUUCCGUAUCACAUGUUUAUCAUCCCAUUCAGUCGUUCCAAUAGCCUUGGGAAGGAACAUCAGCAGCGCCUGACUGACAAAUGAGAACGCAGAGACCCAGCAUGGCCACUUCCUUGCCAAGUUCCAUAGGUCUGAGCAGUACAUCUCCCAACACCGAUGAAUUCAGGUGAAUGGAGAUCAGAGGACAACUUGUGGAAGCCAGUUCUCUCCUUCCCGUAGGUGGGUUCCAGAGAUCCAAGUCAGGUUGUCAGGACCUUGGAACAAAAACACCUUAUCUGCUGAACCACCCAGGCUCAUGUAGUUUUGAGUGGGAUGCUUGAGCUCUCUGUGUCUCAGUUGCCUCAUCUGUAAGAUGAAGAAAAAUGAAGUCAGAAGGCUAAAUAAUAGAGUGCACAGAAAGGCCGAAUUUUGGAUAGAAUCACUUUACAGAAUAGAGAGAAAGUAGUGCCCAUGUUAUAUAAGCUGCCUAGUGUGUUUCUCUUUGUUACUGCAUCCCAGAAGAACUGAGACAGAGAUGUUAGUGACUGUGGACUCUUCCUGUAACUAAAGUAACAACAGUAGUAAAUGUAUACAUACCAAAGUAAAGUAUGAGAAAGCUCCCAGCCCGGCCUAUAAUAGCCCUCGAAUUGAAGAUGACCAAAUACUCAUGAACAGAAGAACUGAAUAUCCCAAUGGAAUCAGCAGAGGAGUGAAACUGGGAGUUCAGUUGGCCAAGCGUGAUGGGUUAUGCCCUUUUCAUUAGUUACUUUCUGUCGCUGUGAUAAAACGACAUGACCAAAGCAACUUAUACAAAGAAGAUGUCUUAACUGGGGUCUCUAUUGCUGGGAAGAGGCCCCAUGGCCACGGCAACCCUCAUAAAGGAAAACGUUUAGUUGGGGCUGGCUUACAAUUC